rnacentral:tRNA from 1 species
GGGGUUGUGACUCAGUGGUAGAGUGCUUGCCUAGCAUGUGUGAGACCCUGUGUUCGAUUCUCAGCACCACA